ACAAUCAAAGAAUCGAAUCCGACAAAAUUGAAACGAUACAGAAAAAGAUUAGCAUGGCCCCUGCGCAAGGAUGACACGCACAAAUCAAGAAGUGUACCAAUCAAAA
rnacentral:snRNA from 1 species